GAGAUUAUGUUCCUGUAAAUAUUAUCAAUUGAGUUUGUCAGUAUAGGUGUUUAUUUAUUUCUGUGUUUUGUAUAAAAUUCAGUUGAAAAAUUGUGACCUAGAAAGUAUGGGUAUUAUGUUGUUGUGGUUGUCAAGCAGUGGCACUCACUGGCACACUUCUCGCGGGAGAAAAGGAGAUCGCAAAUCACAGUGCCCAUGACCCCUUCCUUCGUACAGACCGUACAGAGCCAGUCAACCGACUCAACUAUAGAAAAGAUUGCUAUAUAGUGAUGGCGGAGGCGAAUGCGAGGUGAAACAGAAAAUCACGUUCCCCAUGCCGUAUCUAGGACCUAAUAUCUUUGGUAAGGAGAAGCAACUGUGUGAUACGAAAGCAUGGCAACUUUUUUGGAAUAGAUAUCCUGAAUUUUAAGUGAAAUAUCUGUGAGAGCCAGAAAGAUGUCCGAAGUACUGUCGCCAAGAGCCGAUAAAGUUCUACCGCCUAUUUCAGC